CCAGAGAACUUAGCAGAGAUGCUUUGGUGCCUUCGGGAACUCUGAGACAGGUGCUGCAUGGCUGUCGUCAGCUCGUGUUGUGAAAUGUGGGUUAAGUCCCGCAACGAGCGCAACCCUUAUCCUUUGUUGCCAGCGGUCCGGCCGGGAACUCAAAGGAGACUGCCAGUGAUAAACUGGAGGAAGGUGGGGAUGACGUCAAGUCAUCAUGGCCCUUACGAGUAGGGCUACACACGUGCUACAAUGGCGCAUACAAAGAGAAGCGACCUCGCGAGAGCAAGCGGACCUCAUAAAGUGCGUCGUAGUCCGGAUUGGAGUCUGCAACUCGACUCCAUGAAGUCGGAAUCGCUAGUAAUCGUAGAUCAGAAUGCUACGGUGAAUACGUUCCCGGGCCUUGUACACACCGCCCGUCACACCAUGGGAGUGGGUUGCAAAAGAAGUAGGUAGCUUAACCUUCGGGAGGGCGCUUACCACUUUGUGAUUCAUGACUGGGGUGAAGUCGUAACAAGGUAGGCGUACGUGU
rnacentral:rRNA from 1 species